GACGAACGCUGGCGGCGUGCUUAACACAUGCAAGUCGAACGGAAAGGCCCUGCUUUUGUGGGGUGCUCGAGUGGCGAACGGGUGAGUAACACGUGAGUAACCUUCCCUUGCCUUUGGGAUAACUUCAGGAAACUGGGGCUAAUACCGGAUAGGAGCUCCUGCUGCUUGGUGGGGGUUGGAAAGUUUCGGCGGUUGGGGAUGGACUCGCGGCUUAUCAGCUUGUUGGUGGGGUAGUGGCUUACCAAGGCUUUGACGGGUAGCCGGCCUGAGAGGGUGACCGGCCACAGUGGGACUGGGGAACCGCCCAGACUCCUACGGGAGGCAGCAGUGGGGAAUUUUGCACAAUGGGCGGAAGCAGGAAGCAGCAACGCCGCGUGCGGGAUGACGGCCUUCGGGUUGUAAACCGCUUUCGCCUGGGACGAAGCGUGAGUGACGGUAAUGGGUAAAGAAGCACCGGCUAACUACGUG
rnacentral:rRNA from 1 species